rnacentral:lncRNA from 1 species
UACCCCGGGGUUGUCACCCACCAAGUGUGAAUAAGCAGUAAUUAUGAUUUUGUCACCAUAUUCGGGUCCAGUAGUCUGCAAAUGCAUGGCUUGAUUGAGAGCCCCAGUCCCAGUCUAGAUAGCACCUAUGUUUUUAAAGCGUCCCUAAGGCGACGCCUAGGCGACCGAAGCGCUCCCCCUCCGCUUUGGAAAAUCGACCGCUUUGGGCGCCUAGGCGUCCAAAGCGCCCGCCUAGGCGUCGCCUAGGCGCCAAAGCGCCCCCCCUCCCUAAGGCG